CUGCCAGCAGCCAGAGGGGCAGGAGCUCCUGGAGUUAGGAUGAGGAGAGAAGCCUCACAGCAGAUGCUGGGAGUGCCAGAGCUGCCCUCACUGACAUUGCUUUUGGUGUGACGGGAAAUGCCAAAUGAAGGAGUCCUUAUGGCCUACAGUCCCCAGGUGUAUUAUCCCUCUAGACAACUAAACUGAAUAGCUUUUAUAGAACUUUGAAUGAGAGGAAAGUCAAAAUUUAGCAACUCUGUGACAUCUAAGGAAUGAAGUCUCUUUGUUACAAUGAAGAAGGAUCAAGAUACCAUAUAAAUAAAA